AGGAGGAAGCAAGGAGGAAGCUAAGCUUGGGUGUGGUCCCCGCUGGAGACAAGCCUCAGCCUGAUCUCCUGGGCUGUUCCUGAGGCUAAACUGCAGCAUAACUUUAGUCCCAGUUUAAAGCCCGGAGCUGACCUUCUGUCCCCGUGUAUCAGUUACAGGCUGCCUCUCAAGAUAAGAUGUGUAACCUCAGGCUCAGACAAGGGCAAUCCUCUGGAGGAGGAAAAAGACAGUGAGCCAUCAACAGCCCACACUCACAGCAGCUGGGAGCUGGGUGCACCUGCAGGGGAUCUUCCUGACUCAGGGAUUGAACCUGCGUCUCCUGCCCUGGCAGGUGGAUUCUGUGCUACUGAGCCACUGAGUCCUUGCCAAGACUGGCAUUUUGAGAAAAUUGGAGUCUGAUGAGGAUUCACUGUAUUUCACAUGGAUGCCAGGGCUCAGCACCCAGAGGCUUGUGCAGAAUCCCAAACACGAGUGUGUUAGAAGUUUUGAGCUGGAAGGGGCCUGAGAGAUGAUCCAGCCUUGGAAAAUUGAGGCCCUGAGAUCUGAAGCGAAGUGUCCAAAGUCAAAACUACGAGAUGACUGCCGGUGGCUAGUGGACAGCUUGAGAGGGGAGUUGAAACUGGUUAAUUCAAAAAUUACAUAUC
ensembl:lncRNA